rnacentral:misc_RNA from 1 species
GGAUCUUCUAAACUCACGUAGAACAAGUCACCAAUAUGAAAAGAAGCACGUAGCUCAAAUGGUUGAUCCCUAGAAAUUCAGCAUGUUUAGUACUCCUGUUCUAAUAUGGAAAUUCUGAACAUUCAAAGCAAGAAUCAGCCAACAAUUUUACCAGGCAAUGAGUUAUGCACUAGCCUCUUUCUGAAAAACCAAGCUUUAAACCCCUCUCCUGGAGUCAUUAUCAUCCAAAAGUCUCUGAACCCUCUUCUUACCACAAUACUGCCUAUCAAAAUGCUUAACCCAAGUAGGUCUACAUUGUUUCACAUAUUCCUCCCUGGUUUUCUUGCAUUCAACAGGGUAUAAAA